rnacentral:lncRNA from 1 species
UAUUUGUUAUAAGGGUUUUGCCCAAUCAAUCUUCAGCUUAGGUAAAUCCAAUAUGUAUUAAUCGCUUUACCUAACAGCAUUUACCGAUUGGUAAAAUUUGGACAGAAAAUUCGGGCUUUCAAAACAUAAAAAUUCGAAAUGUCCACAGAGUUAAUCUCUCUUUUUUUGGCCUUGGUAAAAAUGUAGCAAUUUUCUGUGGCUAAACUAGCCAGUGAAGUCGACUGCAAACCAUGGUCUGUUUCUAUUAAUAUUAGAUUAUUAUUUUAGUGGUAAGCUGGCCGAGUGAGUGAUUCGAGGUAGGCCAAGUCGGAUAGAGAGCAAUUAGCAUUGCUGUUCUGGACUAAUGGCAAUGUUUGCAAUGAGAGUCGCCUCACCAACCGUUUCUUUUUUUAAAUGUGCGGGUCUAGAAAAGAAUACGUAAUGGUAAUUUUUCCGAGAGAUAAACACGAUAACGAUUGGAAGCGAGGUCAAACGGUGCGAGAAAUAUGGGUCGUUUUAAGGGCGUGGUAGAGGAGAAAGGUGGCCUUGAGUUUGAAAAGUGCGCUCGCCUGGCCAGCCGAAGAAAGAAAAACCGCAUUUCUCUGUCUUUCUUUCUUUUUUCCCCAGGACCAGACGUUUCUGCCAUGCGUGGGGAGAUUGAUUGGCAUUUAGGCGUGGUCCUACUCUAUACUAAUAAUGCAGUUUGGAAUUGGAGAGUUAGUAUUUGACUAGAAACGAAAACACUCCAAACUGGCCGUAAUGUAAGUGGUAGGCAAACCGCCCAUCAAAACGAGAUGCAUAAACCGCUACAGUUUCGGAAAUAUUGACACAUAGUUUCCACAUUACUCUUGGCAUGGCGUUACUACAAAAUGUCAAUCUGCUCUCACCCAGUUGACACAGUAAACAUCGCAUCCGGGACCUCUCCGUGUUGUCACAGCAAUCUAGGAAGAGAUUGUGUCAAUCGAUAUAUUCGGUCCCUUUCUCUGUCCCCCACUGGCUAAACAGGCCUCGAGGCCAUUGUCUUGUCAGCGGGUGAGUUUAGAGGCCAACUUUUGAUAAGCGGUAUCCUAUUAUGAAGAUGGUUCCUCUUAUCGGAUGCUGAUAAUUAAGAGUGUUACGUAAGCUACCAGCUAAAAGACAAUCGUUACCAGACACACUUUCGUAACUUUCCAUCGAUUGCUGCCCCAAUUUCGGAUAUUCGGUUUGGAGGAUUAACGCUAAACAAAUCCAAAAUUCAUGUUUCCGUUUUACGAUCUACCGGCC